rnacentral:sRNA from 1 species
AUCGAAUCGAUGAUAUGAACCUGAAUUCACAUAUUGAAAAGGGUGUCAUUAGAGUCAUGAAACCCUUUCCAAUGUGUGAAUUUUUUGUUUAAUAACGAAACAGGCGCAUAUUAAUACACUUUUUGGAGGUAAUUCCACAUGCAACAAGGUACAGUUAAAUGGUUCAACGCUGAGAAAGGUUUCGGCUUCAUCGAAGUUGAAGGCGGAAACGACGUUUUCGUACACUUCUCCGCAAUCGUUGGCGAAGGCUUCAAAACUCUUGAAGAAGGCCAACGCGUUGAGUUCAACGUAGUUGAAGGCAACCGCGGUCCUCAAGCUGAAAACGUAGUUAAGCUGUAAUAGCUUAAUUCCGAUGAGACCGUCCUUGACCAUCCGGUUGAGGACGGUCU